rnacentral:rRNA from 1 species
GACGAACGCUAGCGGCGUGCUUAACACAUGCAAGUCGAACGGAAAGGCCCUGCUUUUGUGGGGUGCUCGAGUGGCGAACGGGUGAGUAACACGUGAGUAACCUGCCCUUGACUUUGGGAUAACUUCAGGAAACUGGGGCUAAUACCGGAUAGGAGCUCCUGCUGCAUGGUGGGGGUUGGAAAGUUUCGGCGGUUGGGGAUGGACUCGCGGCUUAUCAGCUUGUUGGUGGGGUAGUGGCUUACCAAGGCUUUGACGGGUAGCCGGCCUGAGAGGGUGACCGGCCACAAUGGGCCUGAGAUACGGCCCAGACUCCUACGGGAGGCAGCAGUGGGGAAUAUUGCACAAUGGGCGGAAGCCUGAUGCAGCAACGCCGCGUGCGGGAUGACGGCCUUCGGGUGGUAAACCGCUUUCGCCUGUGACGAAGCGUGAGUGACGGUAAUGGGUAAAGAAGCACCGGCUAACUACGUG